rnacentral:misc_RNA from 1 species
CUCCCGACAAUUAUUUUCAUCUUCCCAAUCCCUAUCAUGGUGACUUCUACCAAAGCUUCUUGUAGAACGCAGUUGACCAGAACCAUUGCUAUUAGAACUCCGGUGAAAAUAGGCAGAAGUGGUUCUUUCCAGAACUGAUAAUCGGCAUGUAUCACGAUCACUAGUGCUUAUAGAUGACUUGUUCCCUGCAUGCUUUGAUUCAAGAUGAUCAUCAUGAUUACCAGUUUGCAACGAUGCUGAUGCAGAUAGGUGGUUUGCACUGCCAUAAGUAGGGACACUUCCGCCACUUUUCAACCAUUCUGGCACUAAAGCAUGCUUACUCCUAUCCAUGACAGUAACCAAACAUGAUCAUAUGAAAGAACCCCCAAAAAAAACAACCUGUCUUGUUAAGCUCCUCAAUCCACCCACAAAAGAGGCAUUGCACUAUUUUUAUCUACAAAACCAACAGAAUCUGACUUUAAUUCACUUUCCUCGCCUUGAAUCCUCCCUUUACAAUCGAUUCACAUAAAGCAUCCAAUCACCACUUGUGCCGAAACAAAAUUUCCUAAGGCCAAUAUGUGUCAAAUUUCACAUCAAUUAACUUUUAUUUUCACUUUACUAUUUACUAUUUUCACCAACCAAGAUUUGCAAACCCCAAUUCUUGAAAACUGCUCUAUACACUGUAAUUAGAGUUGUGCAAGUUUCUCUCUGUACACUAUAUACUUCAAGUCACCAAACACUCAAGUCAACAACCAAUUUCACCAAUCAAUAAAUUUAAUAAAACUUUAUCACACUCUCAGAGAAUUCUCACCACGCAAUUUCUAUUGAAAAGUACUUCUCAUAAAAAGCAAUUCAUGUUUCUUUUUUGCCUAAAGAAGGCUUGUUAUGUUAAGAAGACCCUC